AACGAACGCUGGCGGCAGGCUUAACACAUGCAAGUCGAGCGCCCCGCAAGGGGAGCGGCAGACGGGUGAGUAACGCGUGGGAAUCUACCCAUCUCUACGGAAUAACGCAUGGAAACGUGUGCUAAUACCGUAUACGUCCUUCGGGAGAAAGAUUUAUCGGAGAUGGAUGAGCCCACGUUGGAUUAGCUAGUUGGUGGGGUAAAGGCCUACCAAGGCGACGAUCCAUAGCUGGUCUGAGAGGAUGAUCAGCCACACUGGGACUGAGACACGGCCCAGACUCCUACGGGAGGCAGCAGUGGGGAAUAUUGGACAAUGGGCGCGAGCCUGAUCCAGCCAUGCCGCGUGAGUGAUGAAGGCCCUAGGGUUGUAAAGCUCUUUCACCAGUGAAGAUAAUGACGGUAACCGGAGAAGAAGCCCCGGCUAACUUCGUGCCAGCCGCCGCAGUAAGAC
rnacentral:rRNA from 1 species